rnacentral:misc_RNA from 1 species
CCAGAUCAUUCCAUCAACGGUUCUAAUCAAUGCCUCAGUUCUCCGGUUAUCAUCUCCAAAUCCACUUUUUGCAGCAACUCGACGAACAGCAUCAGCUGCUCCCAUUAUAGCAUUGCGUGAACGCUGAAAGAAACCAAAUGAGCUUUGAAUCUUCUCUUUCUUUGGACCAGCAACAAUUUUCAUCUUGAUCUCAUCUUCAAAGGUAAAAUCCUGUGCUGAUGACAUGUCCAUUCUUUCAAUCUGGCCAUCUAUAUUGAAUAUUUUCAGCAACUCCCGUGUAUGAGCAUCCCACAAUGCAAAUGACAAAUAACCAGCNNNNNNNNUUUGCUCUAGAAUUAUCAGAUAGCAAGUAUCUAAUAUCAGAAGUUAAAACAUUGCAGAAGCCAUUUAUAGUGACUUGGCUUCUAGGGUCGAUAUAUGACCUCUCUACUAACAAGGAAGCCAUGUGUCUCUCCUCCUCUGUAAAAGAAAAUGAUUUCUCAAUAGCUUCCCAUGGCCAAAUCUUGAUGGCACCACCUUCUGAGCCUGACCAUAAAUCCCCAUAUCUAGUGAUGACCAUGGACAGAAUAGGCCCACGAUGAGCAACCCAAGA